GGUUGACCUCGGAUCAGGUAGGGAUACCGC
rnacentral:rRNA from 2 species